rnacentral:rRNA from 1 species
GACGAACGCUGGCGGCGUGCCUAAUACAUGCAAGUAGGACGCACAGUCUAUACCGUAGCUUGCUACACCAUAGGCUGUGAGUUGCGAACGGGUGAGUAACGCGUAGGUAACCUGCCUAUUAGAGGGGGAUAACUAUUGGAAACGAUAGCUAAUACCGCAUAACAGUCUGUAACCCAUGUUAGAUGCUUGAAAGAUGCAAUUGCAUCGCUAGUAGAUGGACCUGCGUUGUAUUAGCUAGUAGGUAGGGUAAUGGGCUACCUAAGCGAAGAUACAUAGCCGACCUGGGGAGGUGGUCGGCCACACCUGGAAUGGGACACGGCCCAGAAUCCCUCGGGGGGCAGCAGUAGGGGAACUUCGGCAAUGGGGGGAACCCUGACCGGGCAACGCCGGGUGAGGGGAGGAGGGUUUCGGAUCGGAAAGACUUGUUGUUAAGGAAGAAAGAGUGGGAGAAUGGAAAGUGCAUACUGUGACGGUACUUAACCAGAAAGGGACGGCUAACUACGUG